rnacentral:rRNA from 1 species
GAACCGAAGUUAAGUUAAAGUGUCGAAAUAUAAGCUAAUUUAGAUAUCAUAAAAGGUGUUGAUUUAUAUAGACAGCAGGACGGUGGUCAUGGAAGUCGAUAUCCGCUAAGAAGUGUGUAACAACAUACCUGCCAAAUGAAUUGGCCCUGAAAAUCGAUGACGCUCAAGCUUAAUACUUAAACUUAACCGUUAUUGCGAAUUAAUUAGCUUUAACGAGUAGGAGAACGUGAAUGUAAUUAAAAGUUUAAUGAAGUGAUUCUAAAUGAAAUUGCAUUUAGUGCAGAUCUUGGUGGUAGUAGCAAAUAUUCAAGUAAAAUUCUUGAAAACCGAUGAAGAGAUAGGUUUCAUGAGAACAGCAAUUGAUCAUGAGUUAGUCGAUCCUAAAGUAAAGAUUAAUUUCGAAAAAGAGAAUUUCUGUAUUAAAAACACUAUAAAAAGAAAUACCUUUAUACUGAAAGGGAAU